GGUGCCGGAUUGGAACAGGCAGGGGAGCGGCGCGCGGGCAGAGGGGAGCAGCAGGAAGGGGGCGCAGAGUUUUCCCGGGCUGGUGGAGGCGCGCAGUCCGAAGAGACCAAUUUCAAACUCUUGGCUGCUUGCGUCGGACUGCAGGGCAGCUGGUGCCAGGGAAUGCUGAGACUUGGCAAUCGUACAGCAUGCUCAGCAUUCCGAGCCCCGCACCUGCGUUGUGUUCCGAUCCUCACAACAGCCUGGCGAGUUAGGCUAGUAGAUUCCCCGUAUUGCAGUUGCCGGAGGCAAUGUGAGGGACUGGCCCAGGACCACUUUGUGGCAGAAGUUUGAAUGGGACCGCUUCUUGGGUCACAGCUCUUAGCCAUUACGGUUAUACUGACUCAGAAUACUGAGGAUAACAUCACAGCAUGCAGCCAUUUUUUCUUGGAGGGCUCUGACCUCUUUGACUAUGCAUCGCUUCCAGCUUGAUCAAGCUCAUUAUCCAGGACCUGUCAUCAGUACAAAUACCUGAGAGGCGCAAGCUGGAAGAGGGCUUUCUGUGAGAGCCCUGCUUGCCCAAAACUGGCCAGUGUUUGCUGCUGAAUUCCCCACAUUUGAGGCCUGGCCGGGGUGUCCAGAGAGACCUUCAAGACAGCCCUAGGCAUUCUGGGUAGGAAUGGUUCCUUUCAUGGUGAAACCAGCAUCCCUCAGGCAUCUUGGCACUACUCACCGGCUCCUUCAGCGCACCCUGGACUUUCCCGGCAGUUUUAUCGGCUUCCCUUUCCACCCAUGCCUCGUAGAUGUGGGG